rnacentral:rRNA from 1 species
UACAUGGGGUGCAAACGUUGCUCGGAAUCAUUGGGCGUAAAGCGCGCGUAGGCGGUUGCCUAAGUCAGAUGUGAAAGCCCUCGGCUCAACUGGGGAAGUGCAUCUGAAACUGGGCAGCUAGAGUACCAAAGAGGGUCGCGGAAUUCCCGGUGUAGAGGUGAAAUUCGUAGAUAUCGGGAGGAACACCGGUGGCGAAGGCGGCAUCCUGGACCGGCAUUGACGCUGAGGAGCGAAAGCCAGGGGAGCAAACGGG